CCCGCACAAGCGGUGGAGCAUGUGGUUUAAUUCGAAGCAACGCGAAGAACCUUACCAGGUCUUGACAUCCUCUGACAAUCCUAGAGAUAGGACGUCCCCUUCGGGGGCAGAGUGACAGGUGGUGCAAAGUCAGCUCGUGUCGUGAGAUGUUGGGUUAAGUCCCGCAACGAGCGCAACCCUUGAUCUUAGUUGCCAGCAUUCAGUUGGGCACUCUAAGGUGACUGCCGGUGACAAACCGGAGGAAGGUGGGGAUGACGUCAAAUCAUCAUGCCCCUUAUGACCUGGGCUACACACGUGCUACAAUGGACAGAACAAAGGGCAGGAAACCGCGAGGUUAAG
rnacentral:rRNA from 2 species